AUCCUGCUGACGAGUCCCAAAUAAGACGAAACGAGUAUCAUGGAU
rfam:Schistosoma haematobium scaffold150_21, whole genome shotgun sequence.